rnacentral:rRNA from 1 species
UACGGGGGGGGCAAGCGUUGUUCGGAAUUACUGGGCGUAAAGGGCUCGUAGGCGGCCAACUAAGUCAGACGUGAAAUCCCUCGGCUUAACCGGGGAACUGCGUCUGAUACUGGAUGGCUUGAGUUCGGGAGAGGGAUGCGGAAUUCCAGGUGUAGCGGUGAAAUGCGUAGAUAUCUGGAGGAACACCGGUGGCGAAGGCGGCUGUCUGGCCCAAUACUGACGCUCAUGUGCGAAAGCGUGGGGAGCAAACAGG